rnacentral:rRNA from 1 species
GACGAACGCUGGCGGCGUGCUUAACACAUGCAAGUCGAACGGAAAGGCCCUGCUUUUGUGGGGUGCUCGAGUGGCGAACGGGUGAGUAACACGUGAGUAACCUGCCCUUGACUUUGGGAUAACUUCAGGAAACUGGGGCUAAUACCGGAUAGGAGCUCCUGCUGCAUGGUGGGGGUUGGAAAGUUUCGGCGGUUGGGGAUGGACUCGCGGCUUAUCAGCUUGUUGGUGGGGUAGUGGCUUACCAAGGCUUUGACGGGUAGCCGGCCUGAGAGGGUGACCGGCCACAUGGGAACUGAGAUACGGCCCAGACUCUUACGGGAGGAAGCAGUGGGAAUAUUGCACAAUGGGCGGAAGCCUGAUGCAGCAACGCCGCGUGCGGGAUGACGGCCUUCGGGUUGUAAACCGCUUUCGCCUGUGACGAAGCGUGAGUGACGGUAAUGGGUAAAGAAGCACCGGCUAACUACGUG